rnacentral:rRNA from 1 species
CAGUCGCCGCGGGAAUACAGAGGGUGCGAGCGUUAAUCGGAUUUACUGGGCGUAAAGCGUGCGUAGGCGGCUUUUUAAGUCGGAUGUGAAAUCCCUGAGCUUAACUUAGGAAUUGCAUUCGAUACUGGGAAGCUAGAGUAUGGGAGAGGAUGGUAGAAUUCCAGGUGUAGCGGUGAAAUGCGUAGAGAUCUGGAGGAAUACCGAUGGCGAAGGCAGCCAUCUGGCCUAAUACUGACGCUGAGGUACGAAAGCAUGGGGAGCAAACAGGAUUAGAUACCCCUGAGUCCCUGUCUCUUAUACA